GGCAUAUCAUAACCUCUGCAAUAGCUCUGCUCCUCAAAACAGUUGUGCUCAUUGAUACUAAACGAUUAAAUCUUAAUUUUUAAACAAUUAAAACAUAAUAAUGAGUGGUUCCGGUGACGGUGGAGGUGCGCAAGGCACUCCGAAAGUUAAUACUUCUGAUUUUAUUGGGUUUAGUGUUGAUACACAAGGUUCCCCUGGCAAUCAUCACUUUUCACCUGGAAAUUACAGCAGCCCACAGGGACAUCAAAAUCCGCCGUUCUUCCAGAAUAAUCGCGGCAAAAGAUUUAACAAUUUUAAUCACAAUAAUCGUAAUAGUUUUAAUAACUAUAAUAAUUAUAAUAAUCAGUAUAACAACAGUCCAAACAGAAGUUUCAACAGAAGUUAUAACUCAAAUCAUAAUAGGAGUUAUAAUUCUAGUUUUAAUCAGAGCCAGAACAGGAGUUUUAAUAAUUUUGGACAUUUUAAAGCAAAACAGGACCACAACAACACAUUCAACAAGCAUUUAUUCAUGCAUCCAUCAUUUAUGGAGAAUCCAUGGGCAGAACUGGAACAAAAACUUGUUCAGCAAAAGUCAUCAAAUGCUUGCAACUGAAGAUUAACAAUGGAUAAGUCAAAUAAAUAGUGGAAGAACCCCCUGGAGCCGUGCAACACUGCGACUCCAGCACGUUCGGCACUCUUACAGACGCUCAUGUACAUGCAGUGGUCCGGCCUGAAGUUAUAUCGGCACGGAUAAAUGAAUAAUUUAUCUGUAAAAGAAUCAAACCCAUAUAUUAAGGAAAAUUAUUAAUUUUAUACAUGAAAUGAAGCGUAUAUUGCGUACCUGGAUGAAAAUGAAAGAUAAUAUUGAUGAUAUCCUGAUCACCCCAUGUGAUUUUAAGCUUGUACCGUUUAUAAAUUGGUAUAACAUAGUCAACCCAUUGAAAUUGACGCAUUCUCGUCAGAUUCAUCAACAUCACGCCCGAAUUAACACCUGGAAAUCAAUAACAAACAUAUAUCUAAACUAAA